rnacentral:rRNA from 1 species
AGUCGAACGGACCUUUCGGGGUUAGUGGCGGACGGGUGAGUAACACGUGGGAACGUGCCUUUAGGUUCGGAAUAGCUCCUGGAAACGGGUGGUAAUGCCGAAUGUGCCCUUCGGGGGAAAGAUUUAUCGCCUUUAGAGCGGCCCGCGUCUGAUUAGCUAGUUGGUGAGGUAACGGCUCACCAAGGCGACGAUCAGUAGCUGGUCUGAGAGGAUGACCAGCCACACUGGGACUGAGACACGGCCCAGACUCCUACGGGAGGCAGCAGUGGGGAAUCUUGCGCAAUGGGCGAAAGCCUGACGCAGCCAUGCCGCGUGAAUGAUGAAGGUCUUAGGAUUGUAAAAUUCUUUCACCGGGGACGAUAAUGACGGUACCCGGAGAAGAAGCCCCGGCUAACUUCGUGCCAGCAGCCGCGGUAAUACGAAGGGGGCUAGCGUUGCUCGGAAUUACUGGGCGUAAAGGGCGCGUAGGCGGAUCGUUAAGUCAGAGGUGAAAUCCCAGGGCUCAACCCUGGAACUGCCUUUGAUACUGGCGAUCUUGAGUAUGAGAGAGGUAUGUGGAACUCCGAGUGUAGAGGUGAAAUUCGUAGAUAUUCGGAAGAACACCAGUGGCGAAGGCGACAUACUGGCUCAUUACUGACGCUGAGGCGCGAAAGCGUGGGGAGCAAACAGGAUUAGAUACC